rnacentral:lncRNA from 1 species
CCCAGUCUCAUCCCCCAUUCUCCCAGGGCUGCUUAAAGUCUUGAUGGAUAACAAGGGUAGCAACAAAUACAUCUACUCACAUUAGCAUGGGUCAAAUAAAUAAGUCAAAAGGCAACAUAAUUCCAGCUAAAAUGAACCAGUCUCUGUACAUCCCUCUUAGGCUGGAGCUGGGAACACAAUUUCACCUCCUGUGACGGCCCAGUGGGAAAAGGAAACCCCUGAUCUAUAUAGCUUUCUGCAGCCCUCCAGUGAUAUCCUGCAGGAGGCUGGAGUUUCCCAGGAAAAGAACAGCAAAGGAAGUGCGGGAUCUGAUGGGGCCAGGGGACAAACACAUAGAAUGCUGCUUACCAUCUCAGUGGCCUUUCUCUUCCUCCCAUCCGAAACUUCAGACGAGUUUUUUCUGAAAACAUAUAUCAGAUGGCAUCAUCAUGUCAGCAAAAACAGAAUGUAUGCUGUAUGGAAAUUAAAUUCAUUGGCAAAUUUCAAUCUAUCAAUUCAAAUAUGCCACAUCACCAAGCAAAAGACUGUUAUCUGAUAAAUAUUACUUGCCUUGCAACCUGAUCAAACUCAUUUCUUUUGUCACAAAGAGGAGACCUAGAAAGCAUGCCAACAAUAGUUACAUAGAAGACGACAGAUAGGUAAGUAACUGAUCAUAUUCUUAGUCAACAUAAUGAGUAACUUGCUCAUAGGUCAUGUUCUUAAAUAUUUAUUACAGCAAACUGAACAAUUUUGAAAUGAAGAAGCUUACUAAAAUUGGGAAGCAAGUAAUGGGGAGAGAAAAUCAGAGCAAUAGCCAGUCUGAGGGACGGAUGAUGCCAGCCACAUCCUUGUAAUGGGAAUGGCAAGUAGGUUUAUGGGAAGCAGUUGCCAACUAUAAUGGAGGGAGUUGCCUGGAAUUUAGGGCAAAAAUAGACUUGGGACUCAUUAAGAAAUAAAACUAAUACUCAUACUCA